rnacentral:rRNA from 1 species
UACGUAGGUGGCAAGCGUUGUCCGGAUUUAUUGGGUUUAAAGGGUGCGUAGGCGGCUUAAUAAGUCAGUGGUGAAAGCCGAUCGCUUAACGAUCGAACUGCCAUUGAUACUGCUAGGCUUGAGUAUAGUUGAGGUAGGCGGAAUUGACAGUGUAGCGGUGAAAUGCAUAGAUAUUGUCAAGAACACCAAUUGCGAAGGCAGCUUACUAAAGUAUAACUGACGCUGAGGCACGAAAGUGCGGGGAUCAAACAG